rnacentral:lncRNA from 1 species
GGCAACCCGCUGGGGUUCCUUUCCACCGUGUGGAAGCUUUGUUCUUUCACUCUUUGCAAUAAAUCUUGCUACUGCACACUCUUUGGGUCCACACUGCUUUUAUAAGCUGUAACACUCACCGCGAAGGUCUGCAGCUUCACUCCUGAAGCCAGCGAGCCCACGAGCCCAUGGGGAGGAACAAACAACUCCAGAUGCGCCACCUUAAGAGCUGUAACACUCACCGCGAAGGUCUAAAGCUUCACUCCUGAGCCAGCGAGACUACGAUCCCACCAGAAGGAAGAAACCCCAAACACAUCCGAACAUCAGAAGGAACAAACUCCAGACGCACCACCUUAAGAGCUGUAACGCUCACCGUGAGGGUCCGCGGCUUCAUUCUUGAAGUCAGUGAGACCAAGAACCCACCAAUUCCGGACACAUUGCCAUAGCUAGAAAAGUCUUCCUGUUUUUCAUGAUUAAUCCAUUUACUUGUCAAGUGUAGUGAAAUCUGUUCUUGCUAGCUGCCCAGCACCCAACCCCUUAUUCUGGUAAAAUCCCCUCAAUUUUCCUUUGAAAACCUCCUCACCCCUUCUCAACCCAUGUGGCGCUGACUCCCUCUCCAAGGUUCAGGGCAGGGCGUGGGACUCAAGCUUGGCCAAUUAGAGCCUUCCAUUUUUAUGGCUGCAGUGACUGGUCCAGAGAUGGGCAUGUGACCUAAGCCAAGCCAAUGAGCUUCAAUUCUGAGACUUCUGCAGGAAGGACUGGGGACUAAUUUCUUCGGAGUGGAUUUAGAAGUGUAAGG